rnacentral:lncRNA from 1 species
UCUCCAAUAUAAGAAAUAGAAAAAAAGUUUUUGUCUUAGCCUCUACCUAAAGGGGUUUAUUUUAAAUAAUAUCUGGAUCUGAACUUGGAUCUAUGAACUAUGCAGGAUUGUCACUUCUGGUCACCAUCAUUCCUUCCCAUUCUACGAUGAUUGAUGGUUAGUAUAGAGCAGUGGUUCUUGACCGGAGGGUCACGACCCCUUUUGACAACCCUCUAUCACCAAAAAUAUUUACAUUAUGAUCCAUGACAGGAGCAAAAUUACAGUCAUGAAGUAGAAACAAAACUAAUUUUAUGGUUGGGGUCACAACAACAUGAGGGACUGUAUUAAAGGGUCACAGUGUUAGGAAAGUUGAGACCUAUCAGUGUGGAUCACUAUACUGUGACACUGAGAAAACUCAAGAUAUAUUCAGAUCCAACCUGAAGACAUAACUGAUAUAUAUAUAUAUAUAUAUAUAUAUAUAACUGAUAUAUAUAUAAUAUAACUGAUAUAUAUAUUCCAGAAAGGUUAUGUGGUAGCAUUAGACAUAUCUUUAGAAUUUUUUUUAUGUUUACAUAGAAGAAUAGCAUAUCACAGAAGCCUGAGUUCCUAGCAUUUUGCUUUAAGAUUAGGUUGGUAAUCAUUUCUAGAUGGUGCAUGUGGCCUGCCAAUAUGAAUUCUGAUUAAUGUUUACUUUUAAUGUCUUUCUGAAAACCCUAAGCCUAUUUUAUCUGGAUAUCAGGUAGACAUAUGAUUUCCUGCAUGUUGAUGCUCAAGAGAUGGCUUAUUGCAUAAGUGUUUGUUAUGUAAACAUGAUGACCUACUUUAAAGUCCCAGCACCCACUUAAAAAGCUGUAUGUGGUCCAGGUUCACCCCUGUAAUCCCAGUGGUGUGGGAGGCAGAGAGUAGAAUAUUGCUGGAGAUUGCUGGCUGCUAUCCUAGUUCCAAGUUGAGUGGGAGACCCUGUCUCAAAAGAACAAGAAUUGAGAGAGAUAGAAUGGGAUUCCAGGCAUUCUGUUCUGGCUUCCACACAUACAUAGGCAUGUCCAUCUAUUCAUUAUAUGUAGACAAACAUGGAAUACAUAUACCAUAUUUAUACACCACAGACAUGUAGAGAGAGAGAGAGAGAGAGAGAGAGAGAGAGAGAGAGAGAGAGAGAGAGAGAAGAAGAGAGAAAGAGAGGAGAGAGAACAAGAGAGAGAGAGAGAGAAGAGAGAGAAAGAAGAAGAGAGAAAGAGAGGAGAGAGAAUGAGAGAGAGGAGAGAGAGGGGAGAGACAUUAAUUAGGGUAUUUUGAUGCCUGUGAUAUAUGGCUUCCAGGGCUGUCAGAGAAAGACAGAGUAGAAUCUUUGACCCAACCAUGCUUGUGAGCUUGGGACCAAAAUAAUGGAAGAGACUGUUAUUAUCAGGAGUUGAGAUUCAAGUGUCCGUGUGAUGUUGAGUAGCUCAUUUAUUAGGCAGAACAUAGUGACCCAGUGAACAUACCUGAUCAUCAUGUCCAGUGAAUGAGUUGUUUUGAUUGGGUAAAUACGGCUUACAUUGCUAUGGCAGCCAGCAGUCUAGGAACGAGAGUGAUUGACAAGAUCUCUGACACCCCAGGCAAAAUGAUUGACGUUAGCACAGCUCUGUUACAGUGUGGUGGAGGGUCCUGUCUAAGCCUCUGGAUUUGCUGUCUGUUAGAUGUGCUUUUCAGUGGCUUUGUUGCUCUCUGAAUUAUGUAAUCUUUUAAAGUUUGCACUUGCUUGGAAAUCAAUGAACCAAUGCGUCUAUGGUUACACACUCCUCUUUGAACGAUGUUAGAAAUACGAGGUAAUGGAGGUGAGAUGGCUCAGCUUGUAAAGGUGCUUGCUGCCACAUCUGGUGACCUCACUUUGAUUCCCAGAACCAACAAGAUUGAAGGGGAGUACUGACUCUCUGUGGCUGUCCUCUGACAUCAACACAGGUGCCGUUGUCUGUUGUCUCUACUUUAACACAUACACAUAAACAAAUGAAGGAAUGAAUGAUCAAAUUGUAGUAACCAGUAUGAAAGUUGAGGCCAUUUGAAUAAAUUUUUGGGCUAGACAAUGGUCUGUCAGUCAAACUGAACUCAGGCGCAAUGCUUUCAAAGUCCAGCUCCUUUCAAUAGAUUGGGGCUAAUAAUCACCUUUAACUGAAAUUAAAACAAACAAAUAUAAAACAAUGGGUCAGAGAUGUAAGAAAGCAACCAAUGAGUUGUUUUGCCCCAUCCCGCUCUAACUGCCAUUCCUGAGAGUCAAUGUUUGCCCUGUUUGGAGGAGAAGAGAAUUGCAGAGCUGUCUUUUAUUAGAAGUAGUGCCGGUUCCCCAUGGUGGGCAAUAGUAUGUUCUAAUUUCUCUCUAUUUUUGUGAUAGAAGACUAGGCCACACAACACCAUGACCAAGAAACAAGCUGGGGAGGAAAGGGUUUAGUCAGCUUGCAAAAUUCACAGUGCUGUUCAUCAUUAAAAGAAGUUAGGACAGGAGCUCAACAGGGCAGAAACUUGGAAGCAGGAACUGAUUGCAGAGGUCAUGGAGGGGUGCUGCUUACUGGCUUGCUUUACCAUAUGGCUUGCAUCCUUACUAGAACCCAGGACUACUGGCCAUGGGAUUGUACCACUCACCAUGGGCUGGGCCCUCCCCCAUUGAUCACUAUUUGAGAAAAUGCUCCACAGCUGGACCUUAUGGAGGCAUUUCCUCAACUGAGGCACUUUCCUCACUGAAGACUUCAGCUUGUGUCAAGUUGCCACACAAAACCAGCCAGGAUGGAGACUAUCAUCAGUAAAAGUUAGGCAGAUGCUCAAGGCAGGAACCUGGAGGGAGGAGCAGAAGCAGAGACAUGGUAGAACUUUUGCUUGCUGGCUUCUCUCUGUAAAAUUGGCUUGUUCCAUUUGCUUUCUUAUGCAAUUGAGGACCACCUGCCUGGGGUGGUAUUGCCUAUAGUGGGCUGGGUCAAUUAUUAAUCAAGAAAAUGCCCCCAAAGACUUGCCUGCAGGUCCAUCUGAUAACAAUUUCCCAAUUGACAUGCCCCAUUCCCAGAUGACUCUAACUUGUGUCAAAUUGACAACAAUAACAACAGCAGCAGCAGCAGCAAACUGACCAGCAUAGCACACACAACCCGCCCCCAUACACUGAUGCUGGCAGAUUCUGUAACUCUCACAUACCCCUAACCAGUCUCUCUCAUCAGUAUCCACAUUGCAUUAAGACAUCGAAAGCCUUUCUUACCAUGAUGCUAUGGCUGAGGUAAUGGGGAUGAUGUAAUUUACAAGUCCCAGUCAGUGCAGGUUACAUCACAGAACUGUUUUGUACAGGUUUGUCAAAGAUACCUGAGGAAACUUGGAAAGGCGGCGUGCCAGCUUUCUCUCUUGUGCUUGCAUAUUCUGCCUUUGAUCUUUUGGGAUGUAUAGCAACUUGCUUAUUGUUUACCCAUGUCAUAUUCAGAAAGGUACAGAAUAAAAUUUCCAAGGGAAGUCACAUUAUUUGACCUGAAUGUCAGGUUUCGUAGCUUAUCUUUAGACAUAGUGAAACCUUGGAAAAAGCUUGUUUUAUGUGAAAGGUAAACUCUCAAUACUUGACUUUUCUCCCCUGGAUGUUUCGAUGACAAAAGGUGUCCCCUCCUUUUUAAACAUUCAUUUGCCCACAGGGCUACAUUUUAGUCCCCAAUGCUUUACCAUCUACUUCUUCAUCUGCUAGGUGUACACGACCACCCAUGGACACAGACCUAUACAUAUGAUGUCAUCUUAUGAAAAAAAAACUUAAUUAAAAACUAGGUUUCUAUAAAAAAUAAAGUAAAAUAAAUUCUUGCAAAAAGGAUAUUGGUAGAAUAUUUUAGUUUCCUAAAAUUUGUGUAUUUUUUUUUAGAUGUAGAAGUGCCUCCUAAGGUUACUUUCCAAAUGUUUUACUAUCAGUUUUUCUCAUUCGCACGCAAACAAGCAUCUUAAAAUAUUUGUGUGUUUUGCCUCACAACAAAGAAAAAAAAAAGUUUAUCUAAAGGACUAAGUUCCUGGUCUAGGGCCUUUUACACAUAUAUUAAAACUUAAAUCUUUCUUUGGGAAGCUAAAUUUAUGAAACAACUUCACACCCUUUUGUUCACCCUUAAGAAGAUUUCAGACUUGCUGAAGUCACUUACAUAUGCAGAGCUUGUGCCUUGCCAUUGCUACCCCCAGUUUUAUCAAGAGCUUUCCUUCCAAAAUAUAGCCUUCUUUAUACUUGAUUUGCGAUGCUAAAAAUCUUCGAGGAACAUCAGCCAAUUGAGUCUUCGGCGUCUGAAUCAUAUUUUAGAUUGUCUGAAUUUCUGCUUUACACAGGAAACCAACAAAUCACUACUGCCCCUUCAAAAUGCAACUAACCUUCUGCCAAAGGGAGAAACCAUUCAGUUGUCCUGAUGAGUGACAUCUGACUGUGCUAUCUUACUCAUGGGAGAAACCAUUCAGUUGUCCCCUCUGACUAUGUUCUGACUGUGUUGUCUUGCCAUAAAAUAUUUGCGCAAGUUUAGCACCGGUGUGCUAACUUCUCACAUAUUGUGAAGGGGUGACUAAUGAAGUGAGCAUCUCGACUUGCAGACAGAAUCCAUCUUUAAUCUCCCAUUUAGACAGAAAAAGGAAGAGCCUACUGGAAUCUGAGUCAAAUGCUACAUGACCCACAGUGAUUCGGGUAUGUAACUCAUAGAUAUGUACAAUAGGUCACGUGCAAGUUCUUGGUGGGAACCAAAGGCAGGGUGCACAUAAGCUUUGAGUUGCAUGACUUUUUUACACACCUCUUUGUCUCCUCCUUACAAUCCUAAUUACUAUCAUUUUUAUCCUAAAGCAAGGUGAAGACAUAGGAAGCCACAUUAAGAUCAGGUGAAAUGGUCACCACUUUAUUGAUAUCUUCUCUAUAAACUGGCUAAGAGCAUUGUAUCAGUUUUCUGUAGAUUCAUUAUCCUGAUAGGUUCUCCUAAGGCAUCCUUCCAAAUUCAAGAUUGAAGUCAUAUUUCUGGGACUCUGAGAUGGCUCAGCUGAUAAAGGUGCCCAUGGCAAUCCUGACAAUCAGAGCUCAGUCCUCAGGUCACACGUGGUGGAAGGAAAGAACACCAAGCUGCCCUCUGAUUGCCACUCAGGUGCUGUGGCACAUGCAUAUUCAUAUGCACACAUGCACAUAAAAGUUAUUGAAUGUAAAAUAAUAAUGACGGUCAUAAAGGAACCCCAGCAUCUUGCCUUUUGUGUGCUAUGUACACUAAAUAUAUUAUAUAAUAAAAGUUUCUCCCUUUCUGUGCUCUUAUUGCAUAAAUUAAAAUUGGAUGACCAAAUUUAUUAACAGGAUUUUGCCAAGAAAAAUAUACUCAUUAGAUAUAAUUUGGUUCUUGAUU